rnacentral:rRNA from 1 species
ACUUUAAUUGAAGAGUUUGAUCAUGGCUCAGAUUGAACGCUGGCGGCAGGCCUAACACAUGCAAGUCGAGCGGCAGCACAGAGG